GGGGCUGUGGGGAGCAUCACUCCUGCGGGAUGCUGUGCUGGGAUCGAUGAUGUCCUCCCCGCUCCCGGCAGCGCCCGCGAUGUGAUUCCUCCCUGCCGGCGGCACCGCUCCCAGACAAAGGCUGCGCUCAGCUGGACCUGGGCUACCCACGCGAGCGCUCCCACCUUCCCCCAACAUCCAACAGACGGAUCAAAGCCCAUCUUUUGUCAUGGAAAGGAUUAACUCCGCGGGGAACAGCGGCGGAGGCUGAGCCCGCCACGCAUCGCCUGCUUCCCAGCACGCUCAGGAGUUUUGGAGCCAACCUCCCGGCAGCUAAUCCUCCUCGCUGGGAAGAGCCGGCAGGGCGGCAGGUGAAGGGAAGAGAACGGGGAGGAGUGUCCACACACACACACACACAUCCACACACACACACCCGCACACGGCACCGGGCAGCGGCAGCGGAUCGGCGGCUGCGUGCGGGGAGCUCCGCGGGGAGCGCAGCCCGGAAUGAAACCAGCUGGAGCAUCGGCAGAGAGGAGCUGUUCGCUUGGAAAAGUCUUUCAGGAAUCGAUCGGGAGAUGCCGGUGAGAGAAGUUGCUGAAAGGCAAGCUGGAAUGGCCAGGAGCUGCGCGCCGCCGGCCCCGUCACACAGCGGAGCAGCUGAACUUUGUGGGGUCUGAACAUUUUUCUCCUCUGCGAACGCUCUGGGCAGCGCUGACGGGAGAGCCAGGACGGCACCGCACACCUUGAGCCCGACCGAGCCUGGGCUAGUGCCAAGGGGGGAUUUCUGUCUCUCCGAGGAUCAUCGCCUCUGAAAAAAAAAAGAAGGGAAAUUUAGCUUUCUUUUCCAGAUGACUGAAAAUAUCUACAGGAUCCUGUCUCUCCGGUUUUCAUCGGUGAGUAGCAUAAGGGACAGGCAACUGAGGAACAAAAAUGAUAUCAGUCAAAAUCAUUCCAGCACCUACUUUUUCCUAAGGAACUUCAUGGCCAUAGGGGUUUUCUGUGGGCAUUUUCAGGAGUGAGACCGAGGUACCACAGAUGCGUCCCUACCGGAUCAUGUAAGAAUUUGCAAAUGAGAAACGUACCCCAUCCAGACCUUCUCUGCCCGCUUUGCAGUACAUGGUUUGGUGUAAGCACAGCAAUUCUCACCUCUUUCUCUCCCUUUUAAGUCUCUUGAGCUUGGAGACCUCUUUCCUCAUUGCAAUUAUGAUUAUUUGCAACAUCAGUGCCAUCAAAGAUUGGAGCACUUUCCUUUCCCAAAUCCUCCCCAGCGUUAACAAGACUCUGAACUUGGUACGGCAAGUGGAAGCCACCACCAGCUCGGUGGUAAGCGUCCUCCAGGACCCUGAACAGGACAACUACCUGUCCAACAGCCAGUCCAUGAACUCCAGCAACUUCACAGCUGGCCUGGACCAUUUGUUCCAGUACUCAUACUCGGACAAUGACCAGCUCUACAAGGAGUACAAACCCCCUCCUCGAGAUGCCAUUCCUCUGCCCAAGGCUGUCCUCUACCUCCUCAUGGCAGCCCUGGUGGUGGUGGCAGUGGCGUACGCCAUCGUCGGGCAUCUCAUCAAGGACCUCAUUUACGACUUUGUAGACUGGAUCUUUGGCCCCAACCCAGAUGACAACAGCAACAAGAGCGACAUCAACUGCAUCAGCAACAGCGUCAACGAGAUGAGCGAGAUGCCCGAGGCGCCGCGGCACCGCGAGCGCCAGCCCCAGGACGUGGUCAUUGCCAUCAGCGAGACUUGCCACCUGCCACAGCAGACGUGACCCGUGCCACACCCGGGCCAGGCGGGAUGGAGCAGUGGGAUGGAGCAGAAGGAUGGAGCAGAAGGAUGGAGCAGUGAAACAGUGCAGCAGGACCGGGCAGGGAGAGGAAGGGAUGGGCAAAGCCGGCACCGUGGAGCAAAGCCCUUCUCCCCCUGGUUUUACCAGCCUCUAAGGACCUUGCGGGGGUGGGUGGCAUCACCCCUUCUCCCAGGCUUGUCAGCCCUGUCCUGACGUCUGCCCUUGGGUUUGUGACCCCCUCUUUGUUCCCUGUGAAUAGCAAAAAAGAAAAAGCAAAUGCAAAAUGCACCCACCAGACAAAGCUUGCAAGAGAAAUGAGCUGGAGAGAGGCCGGGCGGUUCUUUGGCGUGUGGCUGUCCAGUGGCGUGGGAAUGGGUGGGGAAAAGGGCAAAGGGGACAAGGAGGCUGCAGAGAAAUGUGGUUGUCUGCAUUUCUGGGGACAGGCCCAGGACACAGCAGGGAGCUGGGAGCUGCAGGAAGGCACAGAAAGGUCAGUAGUGGCCAAAUCCCCCAGUACACUGGUGAUCUGCCUGGGCCGUCACUCCUGUUUUUAGUUUUGCAGCUCCAGCUCACAGCCCUUUUCAGCAGGUGUGUCCUGUGGUUCUGGGACAGCAGGGUGACAGCUCAAACUUCCCAGGGAGCCUUAUUCUCCAGGCCUGUAGCCAAGCCAGGGCCAUCACAUUCCCUCCACCACAUCUCUGCUUGAGCCCAGCACCCCCUGACAGGGAGCAGCCCUGUUGGGACCAGGUACAACCCCUUUUUCUGAGGAAUGUUGCUGGAGAGGAGGACAGGGACUCAUCUGUAUGAAAUCCAAACUCUUCAUGAGGGAAAAUAGCCCUUGUAUGUCUGCAUCCUUCAGAUUCAUCCCAGCAUGAUCACCUCCUACAUCACCCCCAAACUUCCUGCCACCCCAAGGGGUGCUGCCUCUGUACUGGGGUCAGCCCCUCGUGCAUUGAUGGAGCAGGGACACCUCCCUCUUCUCCCUGGAUGUCUUCCUCUUCCCAGCCAGAGCACCACCAACCAAAACUGCCCUUCUCUGUGCCCAAAGACAUCCUUUCCCAUUUGUAACUCCAGGCAGAUCCCUGCUCCUCUCUGUUUAAGGGGCUCAGGGGAAAUUCCCUAAUCAUGUGGGGAAAGGAGCAUCCUCAUGGCUUCAUUGCUGUUUUAAGAUCAGCUCUUAUCCCAAUAAGGAUUUUAAACCAGGAUCCAUAAUUUCUCUGUGUAGCAGAGUGGAGGCACUGGGACCAAGCUCAUUCCUUGUGUCUCUCCCUUAUGAAGAUUCCUUUACUCCCCACAUCUUCCCUGGACUUAAAAAAGGUUACGGUGAUGUGCCACAGAGCCAGUCCCGAGAAAAGGCCGUGGUCCAGAAUUCUGCCUCUGCAUUCAGGGAGGCAAAUCCUGCCUUUUCCCAGCCUGCAGUACCCAGCACACCACAAAUAGCAGGGGCCAGAACAGCAUUUUCCCCUUCUGAGAGCAGUUAAGGAAAAUGGAUGUGGUUUCAAACUCCUGCUCCAACUGCUUUAAUGAGAGCCAUUACCAGCAGUCCCACGCUGGGGCUUUGUCGGCUUUUCAGCAAGCAAAGGCGGAGGACAGUACCCCAGACCUCCCCCCGUAAUUAACUAUUUCCAAUCAGACAGUGUUAUG
ensembl:lncRNA